rnacentral:misc_RNA from 1 species
GGCGAGGAACCGGGGAGCC